GGAGAAGUCGCAUAGUGGCCUAGUGCACCUGCUUGGAGAGCAGGAGUAGCCUUACGGCUACCCAGGGUUCGAAUCCCUGCUUCUCCGCCA
rnacentral:tRNA from 1 species